rnacentral:rRNA from 1 species
GACGAACCGAGCGAACGUUGUUCGGAAUCACUGGGCUUAAAGGGCGCGUAGGCGGGCUGUCAAGUUUGGGGUGAAAUCCCGCGGCUCAACCGUGGAACUGCCUCAAAUACUGACGGUCUCGAGGGAGGUAGGGGCGAGCGGAACUGAUGGUGGAGCGGUGAAAUGCGUUGAUAUCAUCAGGAACACCGGAGGCGAAGGCGGCUCACUGGCCCGGUACUGACGCUCAUGUGCGAAAGCGUGGGGAGCAAACAGG